rnacentral:rRNA from 1 species
UACGGAGGGUGCGAGCGUUGUCCGGAAUCAUUGGGCGUAAAGGGCGCGUAGGUGGCUUCUUUAGCGUGCGGUGAAAGCCUGGGGCUCAACCCCGGGUCGGCCGUGCGAACUGGGGGGCUGGAGCACUGUAGAGGCAGGCGGAAUUCCGGGUGUAGCGGUGGAAUGCGUAGAGAUCCGGAAGAACACCGGUGGCGAAGGCGGCCUGCUGGGCAGUUGCUGACACUAAGGCGCGACAGCGUGGGGAGCAAACAGG